rnacentral:rRNA from 1 species
UACAGAGGCCUCGAGCGUUAGGCGGAAUCACUGGGCUUAAAGCGUGUGUAGGCGGACUUCUAAGUACCUUGUGAAAUCCCACGGCUCAACCGUGGAACUGCUUGGUAUACUGCGGGUCUUGAGCCACCUAGGGGCAAGUGGAACAAACGGUGGAGCGGUGAAAUGCGUAGAUAUCGGUUGGAACGCCAAUGGUGAAAACAACUUGCUGGGGGUGUGCUGACGCUGAGACGCGAAAGCCAGGGGAGCAAACGGG